rnacentral:sRNA from 1 species
AAUUGUCCUAAUUUCUCGUUCUGCCCGG